rnacentral:snRNA from 1 species
UAUAUCUAUAUAUAUAAAAUACUAAAAGUGGAAUGAUACAGAGAAGAUUGCAUGCCCCCUGUGCAAAGGAUGAUACGCAAAAUCAUGAAGCGUUAAGGGUUAGG